AAAGCGAGAGAUCCUCCAAAAAAAUGGCUCAAUUGUACAAAUCUGUGUUUACUUGGGGUAGCAGCCCUAAUUAUACAACGUUACUUGACCGGGUCGAAGAGCGUGUAUAAUACAAAUUCGGUACCCCUUGCCCAGCCACCUAUGUCUUCAACCCAGUCCUUCCGGCAUGAAAAAACAACGCCCUUUUACCCAUAAUGUACUUUGUUUGCAUACCCGUCCAAAAUGGCGGAAGUUGAAAAGUUACUACUCUCUCUCAUAGAAAAAGAAAUCCCCGAAGGGCGCCAAGCGCUUCGUGAUGGCCACGAAAACUUAGCUAGAGUUGCUAAUUAUUGUCAACAGAAGUAUUCUGACUGUAGUAAUCGGUACAAAACUUCUCCUGACAAGAAAAAAGUUCUGGAGGAAUCGAAGGCUGUAUUGGAUGAGACGAAGCAAUUCACAACUCAAUCGCUGGCCAGUGUCGCAUACCAAAUCAACUCUUUGGCUGUGAACAUGCUAAACUUACUGGAUCAGCAAGUCUCACAGCUACAGACCAUGGAAUCUAAGAUCAACUAUAUUGCGGAGACAGUCAACAUUCACAAGGAAAAGAUAGCUCGACGAGAAAUUGGUGUCCUAGCCACAAGCAAAAACACAUCACGCACCCAUAAAAUAAUUGCCCCUGCGAAGCAAGAAAAACCAGAGCGCUAUUCACGGAAACCUAUUGAUUAUAGUAUAUUGGAUGACAUUGGUCACGGUGUAAAGAUAGCACCAACAGAUCGUCGCCGCUCAAGUGCUAAAAAGAAACCUUCCCCAUCCCCAUCUGCUGCUCCCCCAAGCAGCUUGAGAGUUAAACCUGUGAGUGGUCGGCUUGGUCUGUCCAACAUCAAGCCACCGCCCCCACCUGUUCCCCCACCAACAAUACCAUCUGUGCCUGAGACAUAUGUGCCUCCGGGAUCUGCGACAUAUGAGAGCAUGGACUCUGUCAAUAAGGCUCCAGUACCUCCCAUGACUCCUCCUCCUGCAGUCGUCACUGCUCCGCCCCCUGCACCACCUCUGCCUAACUUUACUAGUCCGUCACCACCACCUCCACCACCCCUUCCCCCUGCAAUGCCUGCGAUGGAUGACCUACUGCCACCAGAAGUUCUGAGUCUACCGCCACCACCACCCCCCUCAGAAGACUUCUACAGCAUGCCAUCUUCACUUCCCAUGCCCUCACCUCCUGAGGACCUCUACGAUGCAUCAGCCACCCUCCCCUCCCCCAUUAUGCCUCCCCCACCCCCCAUGGAUGGUGUUGAUGGUGGUGUCCCAGCAGAUUUCCUUGAGAAAGCCACACUUUCUAACUCCGCUACUACUUGGGGCGAGGAAUCAGUCGACUGAAGGCAGCGUUGAAGAUCUCCAAUCGUACAACAAGGAUAGCGAGAGUUUCCAAGCGUUCGCGUCCCUAGCGCAGAUCCCCAGCGAAGCGGGACGACGAGAGCAGGACGAUACCCCGCCAGGGUUCUGGGAACGUCUACCACUCGUGUUCGAAGCCACGAGCCACAAGCCAAGAUGUUGGAACAACUUCAGAUGGCGCAGCUCGUCAGCUGAUUUUGAGAUAGAGAUUGCAAACAAAAGCCUCUGUCUUCGCUGCUAUCUCAUCAUCGAGGGCUUAAUCGCUUAUGGCUUAAGCGUUAAUGGCUUAACGCUUAUGGCUUAAGCGUUAAGGGCUUAAGCGUUAAUCUGUCUGUCAAGGCAGGAAAUGGCGCAAUAGCACUAGAUAAUGUCCCGAGUGCAACGCUACUUGGACUCGAUUUAGAUAGCGAACUUUCGUUUGAUGGACAUGUUGAAAAGAUUUGUAAAAAAGUGGCCUCUCGUUUUUUACGCAAUUUUAAGAAAAAAAAGAUCCUUUUUGCCGUUAGCUCAACGCAAGCAAUUGUAUGAUGCGUUAAUACAACCAAUUUUUAAUUAUGGCAGCGCAGUAUGGAGCGUGUGCAACAACGAAUCUUUAUAUAGAAUUUUUAAGUUAAAAAAGCGCGCAGCUAGAGUAAUUCUUUUUGCGGAACCGCGCGCACCCUCUGUGGAACUUUUUAAUAGACUUGGCUGGAUUCCUAUAUAUGAACAUUUUAAAAUUAGUAAGUGCGCUCUUGUACACAAACGGAUACACGGCAACGUACCUUUAUUUUUAAGCGAGCAUCUGAAUCUUAAUAGUUUUGUACAUAGUAGAUCCACCCGCUAUGCAAAUUUUAAUAUACGCUGCCCGAAAUACAGUAGGGAGACAGAAGGCGGGCGCACUUUUUCCGUUUCUGCCACCCGCCUUUGGAACAGUCUCCCUAUUACAACAAGGAGAAUCGAACAACCUGGGCCCUUCAAGAAAUCUCUAAGAGAUAGGGCGUUUUCGGAGCAGCGUCUUUUGCACCAUUUUAUCAUAUAAUUUGUGUUAUUUAUUGUUAAUUUUUAAUAUAGUAUUUUUAGAAUUUUUAUAACAUAGUCGGAUUUGUAUAUAUUAUAUAUUUAAGGGAGGGCCACAAGUUUAUUAGCUAUACUAUUAUGUGUCACCCUCAUUUUAAAUAAAGUCUUUAUUAUUAUUAUUAUUAUUAUUAUUAUUAUUAUUAUUAUUAUUAUUAUUAUUAUUAUUAUUAUUAUUAUUAUUAUUAUUAUGCUGACCAAACAGACUAAGCGUCGAUUGGCGUGCAGCUCUUUGUCUUAGCGUUAGCCAUGGCUUCCUAUUUCCUCUACCAGAGAUGCUGCUUGUGGAAUCGCACACGGUUAAGUUAUAGAUGCUGGUAGUGACUGACAAAGCCGCUCUCCUAGCCUUUCAUGGAUUGAGUAGACUGUGAUAAAGCUCUGGCGGUCGCAAGUGCUUGUUCGAAACCAUAACGCCUGAUAUCCGAUGGCAGUGAAGUGAUACAAAGGGCGAGGAAAUCUGUAUCUGGAGAUUGAAUGAUGACUGUUGAGAAGUCGCUUGCAUAGUAGGCAGCAUGCAGAAUCAUUUGCGUAUCUGUUCUUUGUGGACUCAAGCUUGCUGAUUUCCUUUUUCCCAUUGAAAAGACCUCUUUAUAUGAAAAGGUCCUUCCCGGGCAACAGAUGGUCUUGUUCUUUGGGUUCUGUAGGUACUUUUGGACCAUUGUUGUGACUCUGAUGUAUUGUGUCUUGCGUUCCUUAUCUCAAGACCAUCUGUAGACCUCUCCUGGCCCUCUUCCCAUCCUGAAACGUUGUAUUCCCUAAUACUGAUCGAAGACAAUGUUAAGAAUAGAGCAGUUGUUUGUGGUGAUCGGUGUCAUGAUGAUGGUGAAAUCCCCAAACGUAUUUGCAUCUGAAUAAAUGCCAUUCCACCUAAGAUAUUAACGAUAUAUUUUGUCAACGCCUUCCUCAAGAAUUUUGACAAGGUCACUUAUGGUAAACUUCCAUUAUUGGAGGCGCAGGGGACUGCUAGGUUGACUUGUCAUGCAUUUGCAAAGUCUUCCAAACAGAUCUCGGCCGACUUUGACUGUGAACAUUCUCUCAAUCUAGUCAUCUGCCUAGGAGCUGUCACCAAUUGUUUUACCAUUGACUUGCUUAUUUAAAGAAAACUUGACUUGGGAUCCCUGUGGUCUCAUAAUAUAUAUAUUAUAUAUAUAUAUAUAUCAGAUAUAAAAGAGAAGCAUCUGGAGCCUAGAUUUAGCUCAGAUGCCAUAUUUGACACUGGAGUAUCAUGUUUAGGUAGCUUCUGAGUCAUAAACGCCAAUAGAAUGAAAACUCUAUGUUUUUUUCCCAAGCUUAUGCGCCAAUACUUGAACCUUGCAAACAUAUGACUCAGGCACCCUGUGGUUUUAGGCUGUAUUAGUUGGAGUGACUUGCAACAUAUGGAAAGUAUGUUUGUAGAAUGUUUCCAUGCCUAUAUUGUAUGUUUUGCAUGCUCAAUAAAUUAUUUUGUAAAAUUCAUACCCUGUGGUUUUUGACUCGAAAAUGAAAAACGUACAUAAUUCAAAACGUAUACCACAAUUCGACUCCACUAACUACCAGGCGUUGUUUAGGGGACCAAUAUCUACUCAAAUCUGCUUUCAAACCUUCUCUAGCUCUCGACUUGUGCGAAACCUAUUUCCGGGCCUCUGCCACCAGACUAUACGUUGCGUAAUCUGUGUUUACUUGGAGUAGCAGCCCUUAUUACUCGGGGUUCCUGUGGAACGCCGAAUUUAGGUUUCGGCCUUCAUGGUAGUCGCAUGUACCGACACAUGUACCGUUGCAGAACUGUCCUUGUGGUGAAAGUGUCUAACCAAUCAGAUAGGACUACAUGUGUCCAAUCAUAGACCUUGUUAGAAUGCCACACGUGUGACACUGGGAUCGAGUGGCAGAACAGUCUUCCCUCUUCUCCCCUGGGAUCGAGUUUGUUAUGGCAAAACGGUCGUUUUUUGAUAAUAUAACUGAUUUCUGAGGAAUUGAUAAAGCAGAAAAACACUCAAAAAGCAGAGAAACACCCAAGAGAAAAGGAUUUAGCAAAAGCCGUGUUAUGUUCCCUUACUGGAGUCCGUCCUAAGACGGAGACAAGCCAUUAAGAGGGGCUUCACCACCUUGAUUAUCUCAUCCUGACCAAGUCAUUGCACUGCAGUUGUCCACAUAUCACAGUUGGUUAUUGCCCUUGACAAAUACUGCAGAGGAAUUCCAUUUUUAUUUAUUUCAGGCAGUGUCAAAUUUUGUUAUUUAAUGUCAAAGGUGCCAAGGUUAACAAAAUUGAACCAGAGAUUUUGUCAUCUUUAGCUCUAAGGCGGCACCAAGCAAAUAGUCCAGUUUUGAAUUCAACUGUGCCAUUGGAAUUAAGGACACAUAUAAAGACAGUGUGAGCCUAAGUUUCAGAUUAUUGGUUCACAAAUAACAUUGAGAUCAUGAAGAAUUCACAUGUUUUACAUUGUUUUAUUUCAAGCUCUAGGAGAUUUUCACUUGUAUGUUACACUUGACUUAUACUACCUUUGUCCAUCUAUUCAGCAGGCAUGAUGGAUUUCCAAAUUUGAUUACUGAAGCAACCUUUGUCACAUCAUAGCUUUUAAUGUUCUGUUGUAGUUAUGUAACUAUUUAUUUGCAUAAUCUUUCAAUAAAUCACAUAUUUCCUUGA